GAUAAUGUCAGAUAAAUAUUGGUCGAUAAGCUUUUUUUUUUUCAUAAAAUAUAUAACUAUUCACUUAUACCACCGAAUCGCGACAUUUCUCGAACUUUACAUGGAAUUGUUUGUUAUUUAUUAAUCUCGCAGCGGAAGAACCGUCGAUUCAUCGAAAUCACUGAUAUCACUAACAUAAUAUUGGGACGAACAAUAAAAAUCGUAUAUCGGCACUUUCCUUUGUCAAUAGUUUCUGGGACAACGGGGGCGAUUGUUCGUUUACGAUCGUUAAAAAUGCUUAACAUUGAGAUUUGAAAACUUCCCAAGUUUAAUUGCCGAUCGAAGAUAGGAGUACAAUUUACGUGGAGAUAAAUCUUGAGGGGGAACAUUUCCAUAUAAAAAAAAAAAAAGGAACGAGACAAAUUAAAUAGGAAAAUCUUUGGACGUUGUGUUUAAACGUGUAUCGAAUGGAAUAUUAAAUAUUGGUUUUUAACGAAUUAUAAUAAUUUUAUUGGAAAUAUACGAUAUUGCAUUAUCACAUUGGAAAACGUGCAACUUGGGAAUCGUGUUGAACGCGUUGAACGUUUCAUUACAUUUUAAUCGGUGAAGAUUAAGUAAUAUACGUAUAUCCACAAUAAGUUAUUAUUUCGAACAGUAAGAAAUGUAUAAAACGUAUUGCUUUUUUUCUUUUUACAAUAUAUUAAAAUGAUAUUUUAUAGAUAUUCAAUACUCGAAUCAGUUAUAUAAAAAAUAUGACUGUAUAUGAACAUUUUUAUAUUUAAAUAUUUUGGCAAAAAUUCAGAAGAUUACACCUCGAUUGAUAGCGACACGGUUGGCCGAGUCAUUUAUAUAUCUACCACUAUCAUUUGUUCUUCGAAAAUAAUUUUUCUCGACUAAAAUUACGCGUAAUUAUAUAAAAAAAUUGCAUAUUAAUACAAUUUGAAAAAAAUGAAAUAAAGGACUUUGAAAAAAAUAAUUACUUUACCAAAAAAAAAUUAAAAAAUAUUAAGCUUCAAAAAUACCAAACUUUCCUUUUCUAUCAAAACUCCAUUAUCAUCCAUUAAUUUUAUCAUUAAUAAUUUGAUACUGAAACGAAAUAUUUUCGAUGAAAAAAAUAUAUAUAUAUAGAAAAACAAUUAAUUACUUUUUAACUAUUCAAAAUCGAUCACUUGAGGAUUAUACCAUCGGAAAACUUAUCGGAAAUGGUAUCGGUUCUUCGUGCUUCUAGCCUCUCUCGAAACCAUUCUCUUCCACCAUAAUCUCCAUUCCUCUUUUUAUCCACAAGGAUAACCGCAUGGUGUAUGCAUCGGUUACGCUCGUCCACGCUUUUAAUCAAAAGAUACAAAGGACCGGUGUUGCUGUUUGUUUGGCGUCCCCUCGAAAACGCGACGAUACAGAGGAUCCGUAACACGAUUUUCAACGAUACAUCUAGGAAGUCCCUUUGAUCAAGGAACAAGCAGCUCGCGAUGGAAAUCCGCAAAGAGGAAAAUACACAGUCGAUUCCCUGAGGGUGGAAGGAGAUCAUCGAGAAUCGAUCGUCGAACGAAAUUGAAUAACUCUGCUCGAUGAAAAUCUAUCUUUUGGAGGAGAUUCUUUCUUUAAGAAUUCUUUCGAUAUAUAUAUAUAUACUCUUAACGAUAUGACCAAAGGAAAAUUCAUUUUCUACAUAAACUUUUUUAAAUCUUUUUUGAUAUCUUAUAUUUUUAUCUUUGUUUUCUCUAUAGUUUCUUUCUUGUUCCAGAAUAUUAAAAAUUUGAAAAAAAUUAGAAUCAUUUUUGUAAUAUUUGUUAAUAAAUUUAUUUGAAAUCGA